CUUGAGCUUCGACUUGAGGAUCUAUAAAAAAAUUUUGUCGGAGCAUUUUUCGACGAUGAUCCUUCGACAGUCUAGUCAGGAGAUGAAGAACAACAAGAAGGAGAGAACAGGAGUUGAGGGCUUAGUUGGGAGGUUUCCGCACCCCUCUAUUUAUAAAGGGGGUCUUGGCUGAUUUUCGAUUAUUGUGCGUAGAUUGGGUUGAUG
rnacentral:lncRNA from 1 species